rnacentral:ncRNA from 2 species
AGUACGCAGGGCGACUGGCGUACGCGGAAUGGACCGCGGGGGAGCCGUGCGCGCGGGAACGAGAACGAGGCGCCGACCGCCUGGGCGCCCCGG